rnacentral:rRNA from 1 species
UACGUAGGGGGCGAGCGUUAUUCGGAAUUAUUGGGCGUAAAGGGCGCGUAGGCGGCUUGAUGUGUCAAAGGUGAAAUCCCUCGGCUCAACUGAGGAACUGCCUUUGAAACUGUCUGGCUUGAGGCCGGGAGAGGGUAGCGGAAUUCCCAGUGUAGCGGUGAAAUGCGUAGAUACUGGGAGGAACACCGGUGGCGAAGGCGGCUACCUGGACCGGUUCUGACGCUGAUGCGCGAAAGCGUGGGGAGCGAACCGG